rnacentral:rRNA from 1 species
UACGAAGGGGGCUAGCGUUGUUCGGAAUUACUGGGCGUAAAGGGCGCGUAGGCGGAUUGUACAGUCAGGCGUGAAAUUCCCGGGCUCAACCUGGGGGCUGCGCUUGAGACGUGCGAUCUUGAGUGGGGAAGAGGGUCGUGGAAUUCCCAGUGUAGAGGUGAAAUUCGUAGAUAUUGGGAAGAACACCGGGUGGCGAAGGCGGCGACCUGGUCCUUGACUGACGCUGAGGCGCGAAAGCGUGGGGAGCAAACAGG